rnacentral:lncRNA from 1 species
GCAAAUCAAAAGAGUUUUUCACUCCACAUUUAAGCUCUCACGUUUUAGCCUCCAAGCUUCUAAAGUGCUCAAGUGUCCUAGCUUUCCAAAGCUUCAAAAGCUCUCCAACUUCUUCUUCUAAUCUUCUUGUUCAUCUCUACAAGUAAGAAGUGUUGUUUAUUUUAAUAUUCCACUCCUCUAAUCACCUCUUGUGUGUGUCCACUUUGGUUGAGAGGGUUGUCUCAAUAUCUCCAAAGUGUGAGAGAAGGUUAUUGAGCUAAACCAAAAAGCUUUUAGUUUGGUUUUAUAGAGUUUCCGGGAAAACUCUUAGGUCGAAUCUACCUUGAAAGAUUUCUAGGUUCUUAAGAGUUUCCUUAAUACUCUAAGGUAUGAGUCUACCCGUAAAAGAUUGGUUCCUAAGCGAAGUUAGCCUUAAAGCUUAGAGAGAUUUUUAAGAGUUCCUUGAUACUCUAAGGUACUAACUUACCCGUAAAAAUUAGAGAUUCUUAAGAGUUUCCUUGAUUCUCUAAGGUGUGACUCUACCCGUAAAAGACUGAUUCCUAAGCGAAGUAGCCUUAAAGCUUAAAGAGGUUUUUAAGAGUUUCUUUGAUACUCUGAGGUUUUGUCAUAUCCUUUAGACUAGUGAAUUCCGACAGUUAGUCGGGACUGGAUUAGCCUUUGUUUGGGUGAACCAGUAUAAAUCUUCUUGUGUUGUUCUUUGUUAACUUUAGUUUUAUCUUUCUUAUAAAAACAACUAAAACAAUACUAAAUUGAAAAGGAUCCCUCUUCCAGUUAUCUGGUCAAAACAGAGGUUGACUACUUUACGUAAAUUUCUCAUCCAGUUAUCUGGUCAUCUGAGGUUAUAUUAUUUGUCUUAAAACCUUUCAAGCAUUUACUUAUCAAAUAUAUAUAUCCAGUUAUCUGGUCAUUUACUCUAUAAUAUAAUUUGUGUUUGCAUUAUAACUUAGUAUUCAUAUACUAUAGUUAUUUAAAACACUAUCAAAUAAGUUGACUCGGUAUUCAUAUACUGUAGUAAGCUUUGAAGAGUAAUAAUUAUAAUAUCAUCUAAAAAGUUAUAAUACUAUUAUUGUUCAACCAUUUUUUUCUUAAGUGUUUACAAGUAAUUCCGCAAUCAACCUGUAUAAAUCGAAAAGAGGCUAUUAUCCUCCCUAAUAGCCUCGGAUCACGAUCCAACAGUUGUCACUAUUGGAGUAAACCCUAAUAACUAAUUAGCAACUACUCCAACAGAUUUAUAGUUACAAUACUAAUUUAAAUACAAUAGUUAAUGUAAUAAUAAUAACAACGUGAAAUCACAUUUCAGAUUCAUUUUCAGUAAUUGCAAUAUGGUAUCAGUUAGCCUGUGAGUUAACUUGAGGAUAACUCUUAAUAUUCUGUUUCUUUCUUCUUUUUUCGGUAAUUGUUCUCACAACGUCGACGAUGGCAACUUCUAAUAACUCUUCAGCAAAAGUGGUGAAGAUCAAGCAUCAGCAAGGAGAGAAACUUACCAAAGAAAAUUUCUUUGUAUGGCAGAAGAAAGUUAAGACCCUUCUGCUAAGAGGGUAUGGACUUCUGUCGUACAAUAACGGAAAAGUCGUUCUUGAUAGAGGCUUGAAGAUCCAGUAAGACCAGCUUCUCCUGGGGUGGAUCUUCUCUACUCUCUGGUCAGAGAUUAUCGCAUAAAUUGCAGGCGCAGAUACCACUGCCGAGGCUUGGGCGCAACUCCAAGAACUCUAUGCAUCAUCAUGAGGAUCCAGAAUUCUUCAACUUUGACAGGAAAAUUAAGGUUUGAAGAAAGGAGAUCUGGUGAUUGACAACUAUUUGGCAAAAAUAACAAACUAGUGGAUGAUAUUGGUUUUGCUGGAGUCAAGACUUCAACCUCAGAAAAAAUUAUUUACAUUCUCAAUGGACUCGAUACCGAUUUUGAGGCAAUUGCUGCUGUGAUCUCAUCACAGCUUGGGACCAACGAUAAGGACACUCCUUCUAAGCCAAGAAGUUCGAAAGGCAAAUAUAAGAAAUUCGCAAGUAAUUAUGGUUAAUGUGAUAGCACCAAAUCAGAGGCGCGAUAGACCAGUAUGCCAAAUUUGUGGGAAACGUGGUCAUAUUGCGGUGGCCUGUCACAAAAGAUACAACAAGAUGCUAUAUUCGACGCCUCCAGAACAUAAAGCUCGACAAUUAGCAUAGUCUAACAAAUCAUCUCGUACGACAACUUCGACUGAGAUAAACACACUAUGGAAUCCAGAUACAGCGGCCACUGGAUACGUCUCAGGUAAUCAUAGCUAUGUGCAUAUUCUUAAGACGACAGUGAAUCAUCCAAGUAUUAUUGUUGCAGAUAGAUCGUCAGUUCCGGCCAUAGGUACCGGAAACUCAUUAUUCACUAAAAAUAAACAUGAUAUGCGUAUGAAUGAUAUAACCAUAUCCCAACUGUAUCACACAAUCUUCUGUCAGUACAUAAGCUCUGUAGUGAUAAUAAUUCUGGCAUGUGGUUUGACAAAUCUUGUUUUUGUGUUAUGAAUUUACAGAGUAAGGAAUUAGUGGAGAGAGGUCGAGCUCUGGGGCAUGUACGAACUUCAUCUGGAUAAUGCAAGGACUAUGGAGGCUAAUCAGUAGCCACCAGACCUACAGCCACGGCCACUCCCGUGGCUAAUUCCCGUGGCUAAAUUGAUUUAGCCACGGAUUUUACCAUUUAGCCAGUGAACUUGGCCGUGGCUGUUUCCCUGUUUUCUUGUAGUGACAUGACAAAAGCAGUCUCACUAGAUUUUUGGCACUCGUGUUUUGGACAUAUUUUUUCAAAAUUAACAUUUGAUGUCAUCAAGAAAUUUAAUCUCUCUGUAAAAUCAAUGAAAAAUAAAGAUUUUGGAUGUCAUUCUUAUGUCAUGGCUAAACAUCAUCACCUCCCAUCUUCCUUUGUCUAACUAAUUCAGCCUUAGACGUUCUUGAUGUGUACAUGGAUCUUUGGGAACCGGC